UGAUAUAUUUAUAAUACACAUAAACGAAAUAAUAAAUACCUGAUCCCUACAGUCUUCGACACAUCCCGAGGUAUCGAGUUCAAGGCUUUCGCAUAACCCAAUCACCACAACCAGAAACCAAAAUACGUGCUCAUGAUACAUCAGGACUGCAACUCUCGACAAGGACUGUGAUUUAAUAAACAUAUAUCAAAGCGACGGACUAUUGAUCUGUGAGUGGGUCACGUCCGAAUGUCAAUGAAAGCGCCUUUAAUCUGCCCACAUAUAGAACUGCGAACUUUGCUCCACAAGAAAUUUCACUACGAGCCAGCACUCAGAGCUAAACUGUCUACCAUAUUUCCUCGAUUAAGCCGCCCCCAGUUCACUCCCU